rnacentral:lncRNA from 1 species
UCUUCUUUUUUUUUUCACAUUGAAGUGUUUGUGGAGGGUUUCAUGGUUUUAAUAGCUAUAUAUUCUUUAUUGCUGCUUUAAAAUACUAAUAAAAGUGAUGAAAAGGCAUGAAAAAUCAUCACUGAUUGCAUAGGAAUUCACUUAAAAUAUGAUCUUUCCUUUGCUCAGUUAUCAUCUGUAGUGGUGUUUCCUUACAGAAAUGGUAAAGGGCUAAAAGUUCUUAAUAAAAAACACAUGCUUUUCUUUACUGCACCACCACACUUGGAUGUAUUCCCCUGUGGAAAACGACACCAGGUUAACCACUGCAAGGCAGCCUUACGGUAAAUCGGAUCCGUUUUUAAAAAUGCAUUCCCAGAAGAUUCAGUUUAAUACACUGUUUCUGAGAAUACCUCUGUGAGAGUGUUUUUUCUCUCUGAUAUUCUUGCUCUUUAUGUUUGGAAGCAACCUUGGCUGGUGAAAGGCAGGAAUAGAAAACACCAUUUUGAGACAAUGAAGAACCAAAGACCUGAAUUACUUAGAAAUUUAAGACAAGAAGCAUGUAUAUGGUGCAUUCAGUAUCUUUCUUUUUAUUAUUAUUUCUGUACAUGUAAAAUUAUUCUUCUUAAUUAACAAAAAGGAAAAUGGAUGAUUUUCCUUGAAGUAUGUAAGAGGCAGUGUUUCACUGAUCCAAACCUUGAACUACAACAACACCAAGAAGCAAUUACCCGCACUUACGGCCAGGUCUGGAAUAUAAUGUACCUUCUAGUUAAAAAUGCAAAAUGUGUUUUUAAGGUUUUUUUUAUUUAUGUUUUGAAAGUUUAUUCUAAUUAGAGAAAAUAUCCCCACACUUAAAAUGGAAAUUGCUGUGGACUCAGACAGCAGGACUUCUCUUAAAAGAAAAAAAUAUUGAGCCAGAUCUUCCCAUUUGCAAAUUGCAUGUUGGGGUCUGCCAGUAGUAAUCGAUGCCACAUAAAACUACUUCCCUUCCUUGUUCAGGAGUGGUGACAUAGCCUUGCACAUUAGGGGGGCUGGAAUGGGAGAAAAGGAUCUUAAUUCAAAGACAGAAAGAGAGGCCUAGAACAAGCAUUU